UACGAAGGGGGCUAGCGUUGCUCGGAAUCACUGGGCGUAAAGGGUGCGUAGGCGGGUUAUUAAGUCAGAGGUGAAAUCCUGGAGCUCAACUCCAGAACUGCCUUUGAUACUGAUAGUCUUGAGUAUGGGAGAGGUGAGUGGAACUGCGAGUGUAGAGGUGAAAUUCGUAGAUAUUCGCAAGAACACCAGUGGCGAAGGCGGCUCACUGGCCCAUUACUGACGCUGAGGCACGAAAGCGUGGGGAACAAACAGG
rnacentral:rRNA from 1 species